rnacentral:rRNA from 1 species
GACGAACGCUGGCGGCGUGCUUAACACAUGCAAGUCGAACGGAAAGGCCCUUCUUUUGUGGGGUGCUCGAUUGGCGAACGGGUGAGUAACACUUGAGUAACCUUCCCUUGACUUUGUGAUAACUUCAGGAAACUGGGGCUAAUCCCGUAUAGGAGCUCCUGCUGCAUGUUGUGGUUUGGAAAUUUUCGGCGGUUGGGGAUGGACUCGCUGCUUAUCUGCUUGUUGGUGGGGUAGUUGCUUACCAAGGCUUUGACGGGUAGCCGGCCUGAGAGGGUGACCGGCCAAAUUGGGACUGAGAUACGGACCAGACUCCAACGGGAGGCAGCAGUGGGGAAUAUUGAAGAAUGGGCGGAAGCAUGAUGCAGCAAAGCCGCGUGCGGGAUGACGGCCUUCGGGUUGUAAACCGAUUUCGACUGUGACGAAGCGUGAGUGACGGUAAUGGGUAAAGAAGCACCGGCUAACUACGUG